GAUGAACGCUAGCGGCAGGCUUAAUACAUGCAAGUCGAGGGGCAGCAUGAGUGUAGCAAUACAUUUGAUGGCGACCGGCAAACGGGUGCGGAACACGUACACAACCUUCCUAUAAGUGGGGAAUAGCCCAGAGAAAUUUGGAUUAAUACCCCGUAACAUAACGAUGUGGCAUCACAUUGUUAUUAUAGCUUCGGCGCUUAUUGAUGGGUGUGCGGCUGAUUAGAUAGUUGGCGGGGUAACGGCCCACCAAGUCUACGAUCAGUAGCUGAUGUGAGAGCAUGAUCAGCCACACGGGCACUGAGACACGGGCCCGACUCCUACGGGAGGCAGCAGUAAGGAAUAUUGGUCAAUGGACGCAAGUCUGAACCAGCCAUGCCGCGUGAAGGAUUAAGGUCCUCUGGAUUGUAAACUUCUUUUAUCUGGGACGAAAAAAGGCUUUUCUAAGUCACUUGACGGUACCAGAUGAAUAAGCACCGGCUAACUCCGUGCCAGCCGCCGCGGUAAGAC
rnacentral:rRNA from 1 species